rnacentral:lncRNA from 1 species
CCGGCCAACCAGGACACGCUGCGUGGCAGGGACACUGACGCAGGGAGCCACGCGGGACGGAGUCGCAUAGGCGAUCCGCGUGCGCGCGAUCGAACGACCCAGCUCUGUUCCCGCGCGCACGGACGACCCGGAUCAAAAGCGCAUGCGGACGGCCCAGAUCUCAUGCGUGCAGACGGCGUAGAUUGAAUCACGCACGGACGGUCCAGAU